UCGGGAAUUUUGGGCAAUGGGCGAAAGCCUGACCCAGCAACGCCGCGUGAAGGAUGAAGUAUUUCGGUAUGUAAACUUCGAAAGAAUAGGAAGAAUAAAUGACGGUACUAUUUAUAAGCUCCGGCUAACUACGUGCCAGCAGCCGCGGUAAUACGUAGGGAGCAAGCGUUGUUCGGAUUUAUUGGGCGUAAAGGGCGCGUAGGCGGCGCGGUAAGUCACUUGUGAAAUCUCUGAGCUUAACUCAGAACGGCCAAGUGAUACUGCAGUGCUAGAGUGCAGAAGGGGCAAUCGGAAUUCUUGGUGUAGCGGUGAAAUGCGUAGAUAUCAAGAGGAACACCUGAGGUGAAGACGGGUUGCUGGGCUGACACUGACGCUGAGGCGCGAAAGCUAGGGGAGCAAACGGGAUUAGAUACCCCCGUAGUCCCUGAGCGGGCUGGCAAGGCGCAU
rnacentral:rRNA from 1 species